rnacentral:rRNA from 1 species
AAUAGUUGACAAGGGGCGCAACUGUGAUCCAGCCAUGCCGCGUGUGUGAAGAAGGUCUUCGGAUUUUAAAGCACUUCAAGUGGGGAGGAAGGGCUGUAGGUUAAUACGCGGCAGUAUUGACGAUGCCACGAGAAUAGGCACAGGCGCACUCUGCGCCGGCAGCCGCGGUAAUACAGAGGGUGCAAGCGUUAAUCGGAAUUACUGGGCGUAAAGCGCGCGUAGGUGGUUCCGUAAGAUGGGUGUGAAAUCCCCGGGCUUAACCUGGGAACUGCUUUCAUAACUGCUGAGCUAGAGUACGGUAGAGGGUAGUGGAAUUUCCUGUGUAGCGGUGAAAUGCGUAGAUAUAGGAAGGAACACCAGUGGCGAAGGCGACUACCUGGACUGAUACUGACACUGAGGCGCGAAAGCGUGGGGAGCAAAC